UCGGGUGGAGGAUAACUUUCCGAAAGAAGGCUAAUACUGCAUGAGACCACGGUUCCGGAAGGGAUUGAGGUCAAAGCCGGCCACUGUACACAAGCUGGCGCCUGAGGAUGAGCCUGCGGCCCAUCAGCUAGUUGGUGGGUAAAAGGCUCACCAAGCCGACGAUCUGUAGCUGGUCUGAGAGGAUGAUCAGCCACACUGGGACUGAGACACGGCCCAGACUCCUACGGGAGGCAGCAGUGGGGAAUUUUGGACAAUGGGCGAAAGCCUGAUCCAGCCAUUCCGCGUGCAGGAUGAAGGCCCUCGGGUUGUAAACUGCUUUUGUACAGAACGAAAAAGCUCUGGCUAAUACCUGGAGUCCAUGACGGUACUGUAAGAAUAAGCACCGGCUAACUACGUGCCAGCAGCCGCGGUAAUACGUAGGGUGCAAGCGUUAA
rnacentral:rRNA from 1 species